UAAAAUUGUAUUGAAUUAAGUCGAAAUUAGAUUGGAUGAAUUUUAGUUUGGUUCAGUCUGAUUUUAAUCAAAACUAGAUUUUUCAAUUUUUAGAAAAUAAAAGAUUAAAAUUUAUUUUAUCAUUGAAUUUGAUCAAACCAAAUAAAUUGAAUCAGAAUUGAACUUAAUCAAAUUGAAAUCAGACUAGAAAAUAGAAUUGAGAUCAAAACUAAUCAGACUUCUUUGUCCGAUUCCGAGCUCUCAACCCUUCAAAUUGAAACUAUCAAACCAGUUUCAAUCCGGAAUCAAACCGGACCCACAUCUAGAUAGAUAUAUAGAUAGAUGGAGAAAAGGGUAAGCAUUAGAUUUGUAUGGAAGAGAAAA
rnacentral:misc_RNA from 1 species